rnacentral:rRNA from 1 species
AUUGAACGCUGGCGGCAGGCCUAACACAUGCAAGUCGAACGGUAACAGGAAGCAGCUUGCUGCUUUGCUGACGAGUGGCGGACGGGUGAGUAAUGUCUGGGAAACUGCCUGAUGGAGGGGGAUAACUACUGGAAACGGUAGCUAAUACCGCAUAACGUCGCAAGACCAAAGAGGGGGACCUUAGGGCCUCUUGCCAUCGGAUGUGCCCAGAUGGGAUUAGCUAGUAGGUGGGGUAACGGCUCACCUAGGCGACGAUCCCUAGCUGGUCUGAGAGGAUGACCAGCCACACUGGAACUGAGACACGGUCCAGACUCCUACGGGAGGCAGCAGUGGGGAAUAUUGCACAAUGGGCGCAAGCCUGAUGCAGCCAUGCCGCGUGUAUGAAGAAGGCCUUCGGGUUGUAAAGUACUUUCAGCGGGGAGGAAGGGAGUAAAGUUAAUACCUUUGCCCAUUGACGUUACCCGCAGAAGAAGCACCGGCUAACUCCGUG